rnacentral:rRNA from 1 species
GGGUUGUGAGGUUAAGCGACUAAGCGUACACGGUGGAUGCCUAGGCAGUCAGAGGCGAUGAAGGGCGUGCUAAUCUGCGAAAAGCGUCGGUAAGCUGAUAUGAAGCGUUAUAACCGACGAUACCCGAAUGGGGAAACCCAGUGCAAUACGUUGCACUAUCGUUAGAUGAAUACAUAGUCUAACGAGGCGAACCGGGGGAACUGAAACAUCUAAGUACCCCGAGGAAAAGAAAUCAACCGAGAUUCCCCCAGUAGCGGCGAGCGAACGGGGAGGAGCCCAGAGUCUGAAUCAGUUUGUGUGUUAGUGGAAGCGUCUGGAAAGUCGCACGGUACAGGGUGAUAGUCCCGUACACCAAAAUGCACAGGCUGUGAACUCGAUGAGUAGGGCGGGACACGUGACAUCCUGUCUGAAUAUGGGGGGACCAUCCUCCAAGGCUAAAUACUCCUGACUGACCGAUAGUGAACCAGUACCGUGAGGGAAAGGCGAAAAGAACCCCAGCGAGGGGAGUGAAAUAGAACCUGAAACCGUGUACGUACAAGCAGUGGGAGCACCUUCGUGGUGUGACUGCGUACCUUUUGUAUAAUGGGUCAGCGACUUAUAUUUUGUAGCAAGGUUAACCGAAUAGGGGAGCCGUAGGGAAACCGAGUCUUAACUGGGCGUCUAGUUGCAAGGUAUAGACCCGAAACCCGGUGAUCUAGCCAUGGGCAGGUUGAAGGUUGGGUAACACUAACUGGAGGACCGAACCGACUAAUGUUGAAAAAUUAGCGGAUGACUUGUGGCUGGGGGUGAAAGGCCAAUCAAACCGGGAGAUAGCUGGUUCUCCCCGAAAGCUAUUUAGGUAGCGCCUCGUGAACUCAUCUUCGGGGGUAGAGCACUGUUUCGGCUAGGGGGCCAUCCCGGCUUACCAAACCGAUGCAAACUCCGAAUACCGAAGAAUGUUAUCACGGGAGACACACGGCGGGUGCUAACGUCCGUCGUGAAGAGGGAAACAACCCAGACCGCCAGCUAAGGUCCCAAAGUCAUGGUUAAGUGGGAAACGAUGUGGGAAGGCACAGACAGCCAGGAUGUUGGCUUAGAAGCAGCCAUCAUUUAAAGAAAGCGUAAUAGCUCACUGGUCGAGUCGGCCUGCGCGGAAGAUGUAACGGGGCUAAACCAUGCACCGAAGCUGCGGCAGCGACACUUAGGUGUUGUUGGGUAGGGGAGCGUUCUGUAAGCCGUUGAAGGUGACCUGUGAGGGUUGCUGGAGGUAUCAGAAGUGCGAAUGCUGACAUAAGUAACGAUAAUGCGGGUGAAAAACCCGCACGCCGGAAGACCAAGGGUUCCUGUCCAACGUUAAUCGGGGCAGGGUGAGUCGACCCCUAAGGCGAGGCUGAAAAGCGUAGUCGAUGGGAAACAGGUUAAUAUUCCUGUACUUGGUGUUACUGCGAAGGGGGGACGGAGAAGGCUAGGCUGGCCGGGCGACGGUUGUCCCGGUUUAAGCGUGUAGGGGGAGUGACCAGGUAAAUCCGGUUGCUUAUCAACCCUGAGGCGUGAUGACGAUGCACUACGGUGCAGAAGCAGUUGAUGCCAUGCUUCCAGGAAAAGCCUCUAAGCAUCAGGUAACAUUAAAUCGUACCCCAAACCGACACAGGUGGUCAGGUAGAGAAUACUCAGGCGCUUGAGAGAACUCGGGUGAAGGAACUAGGCAAAAUGGUGCCGUAACUUCGGGAGAAGGCACGCUGGCGUUAGGUGAAAGGACUAGCUCCUGGAGCUGAAGCCAGUCGCAGAUACCAGCUGGCUGCAACUGUUUAAUAAAAACACAGCACUGUGCAAACACGAAAGUGGACGUAUACGGUGUGACGCCUGCCCGGUGCUGGAAGGUUAAUUGAUGGGGUCAGCCGCAAGGCGAAGCUCUUGAUCGAAGCCCCAGUAAACGGCGGCCGUAACUAUAACGGUCCUAAGGUAGCGAAAUUCCUUGUCGGGUAAGUUCCGACCUGCACGAAUGGCGUAAUGAUGGCCAGGCUGUCUCCACCCGAGACUCAGUGAAAUUGAACUCGCUGUGAAGAUGCAGUGUACCCGCGGCAAGACGGAAAGACCCCGUGAACCUUUACUAUAGCUUGACACUGAACAUUGAGCCUUGAUGUGUAGGAUAGGUGGGAGGCCUUGAAGUGUGGACGCCAGUCUGCAUGGAGCCAACCUUGAAAUACCACCCUUUAAUGUUUGAUGUUCUAACUCGGCCCCAUAAUCUGGGGUGAGGACAGUGUCUGGUGGGUAGUUUGACUGGGGCGGUCUCCUCCCAAAGAGUAACGGAGGAGCACGAAGGUUAGCUAAUCACGGUCGGACAUCGUGAGGUUAGUGCAAAGGCAUAAGCUAGCUUGACUGCGAGAGUGACGGCUCGAGCAGGUACGAAAGUAGGUCUUAGUGAUCCGGUGGUUCUGAAUGGAAGGGCCAUCGCUCAACGGAUAAAAGGUACUCCGGGGAUAACAGGCUGAUACCGCCCAAGAGUUCAUAUCGACGGCGGUGUUUGGCACCUCGAUGUCGGCUCAUCACAUCCUGGGGCUGAAGUAGGUCCCAAGGGUAUGGCUGUUCGCCAUUUAAAGUGGUACGCGAGCUGGGUUUAGAACGUCGUGAGACAGUUCGGUCCCUAUCUGCCGUGGGCGUUGGAAGAUUGAGAGGGGCUGCUCCUAGUACGAGAGGACCGGAGUGGACGAAUCACUGGUGUUCGGGUUGUCAUGCCAAUGGCAUUGCCCGGUAGCUAAAUUCGGAAGAGAUAACCGCUGAAAGCAUCUAAGCGGGAAACUUGCCUCGAGAUGAGUCUUCCCUGGGGCUUAAAGCCCCCUGAAGGAACGUUAAAGACUAUGACGUUGAUAGGCUGGGUGUGUAAGUGCAGCGAUGUAUUGAGCUAACCAGUACUAAUGAUCCGUGAGGCUUAACCUUACAACACCGAAGGUGUUU